UAGUCCACGCCGUAAACGAUGGAUACUAGCUGUGGGGCCUUAUGGUUCCGUGGCCAAGCGAAAGUGAUAAGUAUCCCACCUGGGGAGUACGUUCGCAAGAAUGAAACUCAAAGGAAUUGACGGGGGCCCGCACAAGCGGUGGAGCAUGUGGUUUAAUUCGAUGAUACGCGAGGAACCUUACCAGGGCUUAAAUGCAGGCUGCACGGGGCAGAGACGCCCCUUUCUUCGGACCGCCUGCAAGGUGCUGCAUGGUUGUCGUCAGCUCGUGCCGUGAGGUGUCAGGUUAAGUCCUAUAACGAGCGCAACCCCUGCCGUUAGUUGCCAGCAUGUAAAGAUGGGGACUCUAACGGGACUGCCGGUGCAAACCGUGAGGAAGGUGGGGACGACGUCAAAUCAUCACGGCCCUUACGUCCUGGGCCACACACGUGCUACAAUGGCCGGUACAGAGGGAAGCCACCCCGCGAGGGGGAGCGGAUCUACAAAGCCGGUCUCAGUUCGGAUCGGGGUCUGCAACUCGACCCCGUGAAGCUGGAAUCGCUAGUAAUCGCAUAUCAGCCAUGAUGCGGUGAAUACGUUCCCGGGCCUUGUACACACCGCCCC
rnacentral:rRNA from 1 species